AUACGAAGGGAGCUAGCGUUGUUCGGAAUUACUGGGCGUAAAGCGCACGUAGGCGGAUUGAUUAGUUAGGGGUGAAAUCCCAGGGCUUAACCCUGGAACUGCCUCUAAUACUGUCAGUCUAGAGAUCGAGAGAGGUGAGUGGAAUUCCGAGUGUAGAGGUGAAAUUCGUAGAUAUUCGGAGGAACACCAGUGGCGAAGGCGGCUCACUGGCUCGAUACUGACGCUGAGGUGCGAAAGCGUGGGGAGCAAACAGGAUUAGAUACCCUAGUAGUCC
rnacentral:rRNA from 1 species